AUACAGCAUAAUAUGCUUUCUGGUGAAAACGUUUACAGAGUGAGCAAUUGUCCCAUUCCAUCACAGAUGAUCGGGAUUGGCAUUUUACUGUGUAUCUGUGUAAGCCUAAUCUACGAAACCAUGACGGGAAUAGAUUUUGAGGAAAUGUUGGACAUUGCAAGAAAACACCGAUUUCUAAUUGGUUCACUUGUGGGAAUAGGUGUGAGUUUUACUGCCAUUAGACGAUAUUUUGCUGGAGGUGUUUGUCGCAGCAAAGCAAGACUUGAUGGAAAAACUGUCAUCAUCACAGGAGCUAACACAGGCAUUGGGAAAGAGACUGCAAUUGAUCUGGCGUCAAGAGGUGCAAAAGUGAUAUUAGCAUGUCGUGAUGUUAUGAGGGCAGAGAGAGCUGCAACAGACAUCAUGAAGAAAUCCAACAACCGGAAUAUUGUUGUCAAGAUUGUAGACUUGGCGUCCUUAAAUUCCAUCCGCAAAUUUGCUGACAACAUCAACAAAAGCGAGCCUAAAAUUGAUAUUCUUAUAAAUAAUGCAGGUAUAAUGAUGUGUCCAUACUGGAAGACCCAAGAUGGUUUCGAGAUGCAGUUUGGAGUGAACCAUCUUGGUCAUUUCCUGUUGACCAAUCUACUCCUAGAUAAAAUAAAAAGUUCGGCCCCUGCUAGAAUCAUCAAUGUGUCGUCCCAUGCACAUACACAUACAGAUAAAUUAGACUUUGAUGACCUUAACGGUGAAAAAAAUUACAACAGUAUCACAGUUUACCGCCAGAGCAAACUUGCCAACGUAUUGUUCACGAGGGAGUUGAGUCGGAGAUUGCAAGGAACAAAUGUGACAGCGAAUUCACUACAUCCUGGAGUUGUGGAUACAGAGCUGACUCGUUACCUUCCUCGGAGCGUGCCGUUUUACUUCCGGAUCCUGCUUGCCCCCAUCAUUUAUCUCCUCGGCAAAACUCCUUUACAGGGAGCUCAGACCACUAUAUACUGUGCUGUAGAGGAAAGCCUAGCCAGUGUUACAGGGAAAUACUUCAGUGACUGUGCUAUCAAGGAGGAAUCAAAGGCUGCCCAGGAUGACGAGGCUGCUAAGAAACUGUGGGAAAUAUCAGAGAAACUGGUGGGUCUCCAAAAAUGAAAAACCCCGACCCCCAGAGUAGCAAAAUAGGGCGAAUAUCUUUACCUGAAAACUCCUUGAGAAAAAGAAAAAUACAUUGAUGUACAUGAACUGCUGAUUCUUAAGUUAUUUAUCUGCUGUCUGUAAAAUCAUAUAUAAUAUUUAAAUGAGAGUUAACAUCAAGUAUUCUUUGAUUUACAAUACUAGUAUAUUCAUUGUUGGUCUGUUGGAAGUAAAACACAAAGUUUGAGAUCUGCUUUCUCUUUGCAUAUGUGAUAUACAGUCAUUAGUAACUAUCUAAACAGAGUCCAAUAAUUUACCUUGAUAUGAACUCACAUUAUUGGAGUCAAAAUGAUUUAUUUACAUGUGCAUAGAGUGUUUAUUUUUAAAAACAAUGUUGAUGAAAAGAAUGUCUAUUUGGCUUGGGAUAUUUUUAAUAUUUGCAUAUUUUCUGUAUUUUGUGAAUACAGAAAUAACAUUUUUGAUUUGCAGAGGCUAUAUAAGUAGAUUGUUGAGUUUUUGAAAUUACUUUUUAUAUUACAAUGAUAUAAAACAAGACAACAUUUUAUUUUGCUGUAUUAUUUGCUAUGGUUGCAUUAUUAAAAAAAAGACAUUAAAGUAUUUGGAUUGG
rnacentral:misc_RNA from 1 species